rnacentral:rRNA from 1 species
UACAGAGGUCUCAAGCGUUGUUCGGAUUCAUUGGGCGUAAAGGGUGCGUAGGUGGCGCUGUAAGUCAGGUGUGAAAUUUCGGAGCUCAACUUCGAAACUGCAUUUGAUACUGCGGUGCUUGAGGACUGGAGAGGAGACUGGAAUUUACGGUGUAGCAGUGAAAUGCGUAGAUAUCGUAAGGAAGACCAGUGGCGAAGGCGGAUCUCUGGACAGUUACUGACACUGAGGCACGAAAGCGUGGGGAGCAAACAGG